rnacentral:rRNA from 1 species
GACGAACGCUGGCGGCGUGCUUAACACAUGCAAGUCGAACGGUAGGGCCCUUCGGGGUACACGAGUGGCGAACGGGUGAGUAACACGUGGGUGAUCUGCCCUGCACUUCGGGAUAAGCCUGGGAAACUGGGUCUAAUACCGGAUAGGACUCCGGACUGCAUGGUCUGGGGUGGAAAGCUUUUGCGGUGUGGGAUGGGCCCGCGGCCUAUCAGCUUGUUGGUGGGGUAAUGGCCUACCAAGGCGACGACGGGUAGCCGGCCUGAGAGGGUGACCGGCCACACUGGGACUGAGAUACGGCCCAGACUCCUACGGGAGGCAGCAGUGGGGAAUAUUGCACAAUGGGCGCAAGCCUGAUGCAGCGACGCCGCGUGAGGGAUGACGGCCUUCGGUUGUAAACCUCUUUCAGCACCGACGAAGCGCAAGUGACGGUAGGUGCAGAAGAAGGACCGGCCAACUACGUGCCAGCAGCCGCAGUAA